GACGUAGGGGGCAAGCGUUGUUCGGAAUUAUUGGGCGUAAAGCGCUCGUAGGUGGGAUUGGAAGUCCGUGUUGAAAGACCUCGGCUCAACUGAGGGACCGGCUCGGAUACUCUAAUUCUUGAGGCAAUCAGAGGAUGAUGGAAUUCCCGGUGUAGCGGUGAAAUGCGCAGAUAUCAGGAGGAACACCAAUGGCGAAGGCAGCUCGCUGGGACGGUACUGACGCUGAGACGCGAAAGCGUGGGGAGCAAACAGG
rnacentral:rRNA from 1 species